AUGAGGUUUCUCUCUCUAAGAACUCACCGUGUUCCUUACCCCCCUUUUCCUCUAGCGUUUUGUGGUGGUUGUUGUCUCCGGAUCCUUCUAGUUUCUCCUCCCUUUCGUGUGGGUUCUUGGUUUCUUGUUUAUUUUCCUACUUUUCACAUAUUUCUAUCCUCAGUGCUUGAAGGCUUCAGCGAUAGAUACGGUAGUUGA